CUGGAGAACAACGAUGAUAUGCUUUGGGAGAUCCUACUUCGCCUCCCGCCACAACCGUCCUCCCUUCUGCGCGCAUCCACGGUCUGCAAGCGCUGGCGACGUGUCGCCACAGACCCCGACUUCCUCCGCUGCUUCCGUGCUCACCACCGGAAGGCACCCCUCCUCGGCUUGCUCGUGUGUGGCAACAACCACGAGAAGGAGUUCCACUCGGUCAUGGAUCCUCCCAACCGCAUCCAUCCGAAGCACUUCAUCCUUGGACACUACAAUAAACUACGUUACUAUGUGCUCAGUUGCCGCCACGGUAGGGUCCUCAUUGAAGACAUCAAGAGUAAAGAGGUCGUUGUGUGCGACCCCAUCACAGGCGAGCAACAUCGUCUGUCCGUUCCACCAGAGUUCGACAUGAACAAUCUCAGCGGGGCCGUGCUAUGCGCCGCCGGCGAGCAGGGCCAUGUGCACGGCAGCUGCCACUCCAGCCCCUUCAAAGUAGUCAUGUUGUCCAUGUACAUACAUAAUAAUCGACGACCUCUGGUCCGUGUAUUCUCCUCAGAGACCGGCAAAUGGGGCAAUCUCAUCUCAAUAGAGACUCAACCUAAGACUAUUUAUGGCCCUUGCAGUUCCAAUACCCUUGUUGGUAAUGCCGUUUACUGGUUGUCUAGGAGAGACGAUAUAGUUGAGUUUGAUUUGGAGGGGCAGAACCUUAGCCUGAUCAAGGGGCCUCGCAGGAUGAAUGAUUUUGGCAUAUGUCAGUGUCAGAUUAUCCAGAUAGAUGAUAGUAUUGUUGGUGUUGCCAUUUUAUCUUACCAUGACAUUCAAGUGUGGUGGAGGGAGGUCAAUUCUGAAGGUGUUUCCAUAUGGUUGUCCCAAAGGACAGUUGCAUUGCAUAACAUUCUUAACACCCUUCCUCAAAUUUCGGAAACGAUACCGUGGAACAAACUGAUGGGGUAUGAUGAGGAUACCAACGCAAUAUUUUUAUAUAUGCACGAUAGUGCCUAUAUGAUUCAACUCAAGUCAAUGCAUUCCUCAAAACUUGAUGUACGAUAUUCUAGGGAGUACUAUCCUUUUAGGAGUUUCUACCUACAAGGUGAUCACUCAUCCUUUGUCUUUAUGUACUAG
rnacentral:rRNA from 1 species